rnacentral:tRNA from 1 species
AAGGUUUUAAGUUAUAUAAACUAAUAGCCUUCAAAGCUAGAAAUAAAUUAAUAAAUUUAAACCUUA